GGGCGGUUAGCUCAGCCGGUUAGAGUGCUGCCUUGACAUGGCAGAGGUCAGUGGUUCGAGUCCACUACCGCCCACCA
rnacentral:tRNA from 1 species